rnacentral:tRNA from 1 species
GAGGAUUUAGCUGAAUUAAAGUGUUUGGUUUGCAUUCAACUGAUGCAGGAGAGAGUCCUGCAGUCUUCA